rnacentral:rRNA from 1 species
CUACGGGCCGCACCAGUGAGGAAUAUUGCACAAUGGGGGGAACCCUGAUGCAGCAACGCCGCGUGGAGGAUGACGCAUUUCGGUGUGUAAACUCCUUUUAUAUGUCAAGAAAAUGACGGUAGCAUAUGAAUAAGCGCCGGCUAACUCCGUGCCAGCAGCCGCGGUAAUACGGAGGGCGCAAGCGUUACUCGGAAUCACUGGGCGUAAAGGACGCGUAGGCGGGUUGAAAAGUCAGGUGUGAAAGCCUACAGCUUAACUGUAGAACUGCACUUGAAACUCUCAGUCUAGAGUAUGGGAGGGGCAGAUGGAAUUAGUGGUGUAGGGGUAAAAUCCGUAGAUAUCACUAGGAAUACCUAAAGCGAAGGCGAUCUGCUGGAACAUUACUGACGCUAAGGCGUGAAAGCGUGGGGAGCAAACAGGAUUAGAUACCCUCGUAGUC